GGAUAACCUACCCUUAGGACCGGGAUAACCUUGGGAAACUGAGGACAAUACUGGAUAGGCAAUUUUUCCUGUAAUGGUUUUUUGUUUAAAUGUUUUUUCGCCUGAGGAUGGGUCUGCGGCCGAUUAGGUAGUUGGUUAGGUAAUGGCUUACCAAGCCGUUGAUCGGUACGGGUUGUGAGAGCAAGAGCCCGGAGAUGGAACCUGAGACAAGGUUCCAGGCCCUACGAGGUGCAGCAGGCGCGAAACCUCCGCAAUGUGAGAAAUCGCGACGGGGGGAUCCCAAGUGCCAUUCUUAACGGGAUGGCUUUUCAUUAGUGUAAAAAGCUUUUGGAAUAAGAGCUGGGCAAGACCGGUGCCAGCCGCCGCGGUAACACCGGCAGCUCUAGUGGUAGCAAUUUUUAUUGGGCCUAAAGCGUCCGUAGCCGGUUUAAUAAGUCUCUGGUGAAAUCCUGUAGCUUAACUGUGGGAAUUGCUGGAGAUACUAUUAGACUUGAGACCGGGAGAGGUUAGAGGUACUCCCAGGGUAGAGGUGAAAUUCUGUAAUCCUGGGAGGACCGCCUGUUGCGAAGGCGUCUAACUGGAACGGUUCUGACGGUGAGGGACGAAAGUUAGGGGCGCGAACCGGAUUAGAUACCCGGGUAGUCCUAACUGUAAACGAUGCGGACUUGGUGUUGGGGUGGCUUUGAG
rnacentral:rRNA from 1 species